AUACGGAGGGUGCAAGCGUUAAUCGGAAUUACUGGGCGUAAAGCGCGCGUAGGCGGUUUGAUCAGUCGGAUGUGAUAGCCCUGGGCUCAACCUGGGAACUGCAUUCGAUACUGUCAGACUAGAAUAUGGUAGAGGGUAGUGGAAUUCCUGGUGUAGCGGUGAAAUGCGUAGAUAUCAGGAGGAACAUCAGUGGCGAAGGCGGCUACCUGGACCAAUAUUGACGCUGAGGUGCGAAAGCGUGGGGAGCAAACAGGAUUAGAAACCCUAGUAGUCC
rnacentral:rRNA from 1 species